UACGUAGGGUGCGAGCGUUAAUCGGAAUUACUGGGCGUAAAGCGUGCGUAGACGGUUAUUUAAGUCAGGUGUGAAAGCCCCGGGCUCAACCUGGGAAUUGCAUUUGAGACUGAAUAGCUAGGGUGCGGAAGAGGGAAGCGGAAUUUCCGGUGUAGCGGUGAAAUGCGUAGAUAUCGGAAGGAACACCAGUGGCGAAAGGCGGCUCCUGGUCCAGCACCGACGUCAGGCACGAAAGCGUGGGGAGCAAACAGG
rnacentral:rRNA from 1 species